rnacentral:sRNA from 22 species
UUAAUAACAUGAGAAGGGAUGAUGGGUGGACGAUGAUUAACUAAUCUUAUUUUUAACGUUUGAAAUUGAUAUUUCAAAUCAUACAAAAUAGGAUUAGUCUGCCCAUUUUCUAUAUACGUAAGCGCUAUUUCUGAAGAAUAGCUUAUUUGAUCAUGGCAAAGGCACGGCUAAUCCUUCCAAAACAUUUGGGAGGAUUUUUUG